GGGGGAUCCCGCGCCGGCGGCGACACGAGAGGAGCCACCUGCCGAGAGCCCCCGGCGAAGAAGUACUGCCUUCCCUGGACAAGACAGGACUGCGCUCAAGUGCAUCCCAGUGACUUCGGAAAGAUCAGUCGGCACAGCGCCCCAAGAUAAGCUCCGUAAGGGGUUGUACCUGAGAGCUCCUUGACUCAAGCUCUUUUCCCAGACGAGCCCGUGAAGCUUUGAUCUGGCUCCAGGUCCCUGCCCGCUCCGCACAGCUGAGAGCCCACCACCGAGGCAGAGGUCCUGGCUCUGGAGGCCUUUCCAGCCCUGGCCAGGUGAGGACCCAGAGGUUUCUACGUCGCUCAAAGCGGAGCUCAAGACCGCUUUUGCUUGAUCUGUUUCAUGUGUGAAAUUCCUCCUGGCACACAUCCUGAGUGGCUCCAGAAACGUGAUCCUUCGGCAUCCCACCACCUGUCGUGUGAUGUAUGGAGUCGCUGUAAUCCUACAUUCAUCGUCGGGGGAAUAUUUUCAGGCAUCCAGGCUUUGAUCUGUACUUGGAUUAUGCAGAUGUUUCAAAAUGAGUCUAAAUGUAAUGCUGAGCAUUAUAAGAACAUGGCUUUUUGUUUUGUCCUGAAAUGAGUUGGGCUUCUUUCUUCUUCUUGGAGCCUCCUCAGGAAAGAACCCAUGCCAGAUCAAAGUUUCUUAUAGCACACAAGGAUCCAUUGUUUCAAGAACUGCUACAAAUUAGCAGCUGCAGUUAAAAUAAAGGGUGGAGGUAUUUUUCUUAGCCUCAUUUAAAAUUGUUUGGGUUAAUUACCCCAAAGUACAUUGAUAAAAUAAAAGUCCCUUAAGGGCUGCACAUUGUUGUUGGAUAUCAGAUCAGGCCAUGAUGAUGUGUUGGAGGCAGAAUGGAGCUGAACUGCUCUAACUGCUCACCACAAGACAGCUUCUGUUGCCUCUGGCAGCUGUAAUGAGCUUUAAUGGCAGCACCCAAGGAUUUCUCUCAGAGUUAAUGAGAAGACCCACUAUAUACUUAGACAGCAGGAGGUGGGACGGGAGGCAUCCCUCCGGCAUGCAGAUGUCUAAACUAGAUCCUUCACCCCUCUGUGCUUCUGGAUGUAGGAGAGAGAAGCCACAGAUUGGGUCAGAAGGCCCAGAGGAGGUUUUUGUCGCUGUGGUGCUACUUCCCAGUCCUGCCCCCAGCCUUACUGCCCCACAGGCAGGGACAGCCAGCCCUCCUCCUGCUCUUCGGUACCCCUGGGGCUGGAAAUGGAGAGCGUGGUGGUGGUGAUGGGCUGAGAGGAGCGGGCAAAGGUGUAGCUGCCCUAGUCUAGCAACUUGGUGAAGAAAGCUGUUUCCAGCCUGCAAGACUUGAAUUCUCUCUGCGGCUUCACUUCAAUUGGCAAAGGUGUGAUCCUGCUCUGGAUGAGGACCUCUAACAACAGUGGAAAUUUGUGUCGUCCAAAUGGAAGUGUGUAAAAAGGACUCAAAUGCAGCCCAGGGGCUAGGGUAACUCGCUGGCACUGCCAGUGAGCGGUGGUACCCUCUGCCCAGGCUGGACAUUCCUCGGGGCUUUCCUUUCAGCUUGGGUUUGUGCACUACCUACUGCAAUGGCCAGGUAGCCCACGUGUGUGCUCUGUACGGGGAUCCUGCUGUUCCCGAAACAGGACAGAGAAGCGCUAUGCAGGGACAAGAAAGAUCUGACUCCAUGGAGCUUUCACGACUAAUGCCUUCCCUUUGCUGUCCUGGAGGUCUUGAGCAAGGCUGCAGAUGAAGGGAUGUCCCCUCGCUGCAAAGCCUGGGGUGUCACUCAGAGCUCAGCUCGCCAAACCUCGGCGUUCCUGUUUGCAGGAAACAUGGGUGUUUAAAAAUGUACAUUCUGAACAGGUAUUUUCAAAGUUACCUGUGGAAGGAUAAGUCAGAAGAAAUCUACUUGGGAAAAGUAAUUAAACGUUGUUUUGAAACACAGUUUGAAAGAAAAUAAUAAUUUACGCUUCCUUAAAUGUUGCUGCUAUUGACUCAUUAUUUUAGGGGAAGUCACUAGUAGAACACAAUGUAAAAACAUAACAGUUCAAGUAUUAUCUUGUGGUCAUCACAUAAUCACAGGGAAAGCGGUCACUGAUGCUGUCUUGCUUCCCAUUUCAGAAGCUGGGGCAGCUGCAGCUCAGGAUACACGAGGGCUGCAUUUUCUAGCUGAGAGUGUCUCCAGUUAAAAUUGUUUGCAUCCAGGUUGGCUCAUGGUUUUGAUCAAAAUUUCUGGCACACUCUAUCCCUAACCUCUCCCCUCUCCUGAGGCAAAUUUUGCUCGUACAAAUUGAAUACCAUUUUCCACUAGGUCUAGUUGCCCUGGAAGGGGUGCUGAGGGAGCAGGCUGGUGCUUCCAGCCUUCCCAUGGCACCAUCCCCAGUGCUCCUCCAGGACAGGACCCUCACCCACACCCCCGGCUGCAGAGCCAUUAUGUGGCUUCCCUUCUGCUGCCCGAAGGGAUGGGGAACACACUCCAGGGUGUCCCAGGGACACGGGGACAGAGCACAGCCCUGGUGAAAACACAGCCAUUCAACUCCAUUGAGUACCCCUGGGGCCGAUGAAGCUAAGAGCAGCUCUGAGAUGAUUGAGCCAUUCAACACACAACCAGGACUUGUGCUUGGGUAUCUGGGCCUGGGUCCAGCAGAGCGGGAGGGUUAGGGAUACCUCUCAUUUCCCUAUUUGUGGGAAUUGAAUUAACGUGCACACAAUUCCAUUGCAUGCACUUAACUUAUUUAGGAGAAAAUCACACAGAUUCAGCUCUGAAGGCAUCCAGAGCACUCCCAGCCUUUAUUCGUGGUAACAUGAAGUUUCAUUCCAACCUUUGAUGCACUUCCCCACUCCCUCAUUAUUUAAAGUGUGGUUUUACUCUAAAGAUUGACUGUAUAAAAUUGGCAUCUGCUUCCUUAGCAGAUAUAUUCCAUGUGUGAAAUCAGAAUACUGGUCUGGUGACUUCAAUGGCAAGAUUGUUUUUCACAUGCUCCUUUCUCGUGCUGAUGGUGCAGAGGCUAAGUUGCACUCCUGCAUCUCAGGCAGCAGCAGCACUGCUCAUCCCUUUUGAUCCUAAGCUUUUAGCCAAGUGAAAGAAUGGUGGACUAUUUUCUUUAAAAGAAAAGGUGGUGAUGAAGAGGGUAUUUCUUUUGAUGCACCUCUGUUAAUGCACUAAGGGUAUGCACCGGUCACAAAUCACAGGAAAAAUCAGACAAAAGGGGAUAAUCUCUUUUCUUACACCUCUAACCCAGUCAGACGCCCUUUCUUUCUUGUAUAGCUUUUUAUGUUGCACUAUUGGGGUGUUUUUGUUUCAAGGGCUUCUUUUACAUCUUCUCUGCUAGCUCCCCUUGGCUGCUUGGCCUCUUUCUCAAACACAUAAGCCUUUGUAAAAGGAGAGGCAGUAAAAGCUCUCCCCCUUCUAUGCCUCGGGUGUACUUUCAUCUGGGGUAGUGACACAUGCUUGUGUUUGAUGUGGAGGUUCCUGUAGGUUUAAUUAUAUGGUUUCUUGUGGAAUGCAAUCAUUUCUUCAGCCAUCAAGUGGUCGUCACUGUGGCUGGCCAAAGACAGUAUUAAACUUCAUUAAUACCUGCUCAGUCAGAUUCUGAGCUCAUUCAUCACUCUGCAAUCCCAGGGAAGACAAAGACGGUCCCUGGUGCGGAGGGCUGGGGUACGAGGGUGUGUGGCACUCAGGGGUGACACAGCACAGCCUGGUCUGCAGCCUGUUGGGGCUGGGAAUGACACGCAAGGAGGGGAACUGCAGCUUGACUUUCAGAUCUGAAAUGAAUCUUUGCCUAACAAACCAAAAAAACAGUGCUCGUUUGAGAAAGAACUUUGCCAAAAAAAAUCAGAGUAAUGGUAUUAAAUAAUUCAGAGAUUUUCCCCUAUUUCUUUGGAGAGGUCUAGCCCAGCUUUUGUGGAAUUAGAGGAAGAUGAUUGUUUUCUCUGGAAAGGAUUUUGGGGGGCAGAUAGCUUUCAGGAAAGGAUAGUGAAAAGCUUUCAUGGAUGCUGGCUACCUGGUGUGCCUGCACACAAUGCUCACUCAGCAUCAGGGCGCUGGGGAUUCUCCAGAGUGGCAGGCUGGUCACACAAAUAGCAAAAUAUCUGCUUGUGCCUUUUUUAGAGCUAAAUAAACAGAAAACACAUGAAAAAUGCAAGACAUUUUGUCUAUGUAAGGCCUUAAAGACCUGACAGUUACAAACCUGGGUUCAGCUCUGUGCCUGCUUCCUUCUCUGUUGUAGGAGAGCAUCCUGUGGGAUGCUGGAACCUCCAUGUAGGCCACCUCUUCCAUGUAAACUUGGUAGCAAAAUAGAUGCCCUCUCCCUGAGCUGCCCUGUACCCCCCUGAGCCAUUAACAGCCCCCUUACGUGGUGUGGGGCUUAGGGCAGAUGGGGCUCUGACUAAUACCAGCUACACUAAGUCCUCUUCUCUUACAGUCCCUUCCACUUUAUGACAGACUUUAUUACUGCAGCUGUGUGCUGGCCUCAUGGUUUCAAUGAUUUUUUCCAUAAUACUCUCAAUCCCUUCGCUGCUCAUUGCUCUGGGUGAUUGGUUCCUUGCCCUCAUAUUAAAUUAUGCUAUAUUUUUCUGCAGCAAACUGCAUUAUACUUUAUUACAAGCUGGUAUUUGCCAUCUGCUGGCCCAACCUCACUAACAAGUCAAACCCUUUUGAAUAAAAGGCAGAGUUUGUAUUGCCUCCAAUGCAAUACUCUCUACGGACCCAAAGCACAUCUUUAUCUCAUGGGGUAUCCUGCAAAUAGAUCCAAGCAGGUGCCAGGGCAUCCUACAGAAUUUAUCUGUGGCAAUGUAUUUGCAGGAUUUGGCUUUUCCAAGGCAGACAGGUAAGACAAGAAGUUAUUGCAGUCUUUUUGCUGCCCUCUUCUAGUAAUUAAAAUCUCCUUGCGCAAGUGCAUUUUGCUUCCUUCUCCUACAUCCAUUUUGUGAUGUUGCUCCCAGUUUGAUAAGUUUUAUAAUUCAGUUAGCCACAGGCUUUCCCCCAGAGGGCCCUUAAUUGCCGACUGCCUCAGAACCACUGGACCAUUAUGCUGACUGUGUUUAUUGGGUUUCUGAAAGAUGCUCAACCCCACUGUCCAACAAUUUGCUACAUCUGAACCCACUGGAGUCCUAAGAACCAUAACUGUCCCAAACCCAGGAGCCCCCCUGGCUCUUCCCCACUUCCCUCUGCAACGCCUGGGAGAGCAAACGAGCCUCACAGGCAGGUUCCUCCGUGGGGAAGGACAGCCUCUUUCACUGCUUGAUUGCUCCACUGAUUCUGUUUUAGCCUUGUUGCUUUAGUUGAUCUGAGUUUGAAACAUAAAUUGGUCUAAACAGAUAAACUUCCCGCUCAGUCUUUGGCAAUUGUGGUGUGAAGGAAGGAAGGGUUGUGAUGAUGGUAAGAAAUGACCCCAAAAGUUCAGGAAGCAUCCCGUUAUCCCUGGCUGAAAUGAGGUUGCUGUGGACUGGGGCUCUGGGAGUAAAUUAAGAAAGGGUAGAGGUGGCCCUAGGCUGGGAGGACACUGAGAAGACCAAAGUGGAGUGGGUACCUCAGGCUUUGUCGUGAAUUCGCAUGCAAAAACCCUAUGGCAAGACACCUUAGUUUAAAAGCAGCCAGCUGAAGUUAGCAACCCGGGGAAUAUGUGUCUGAAGCUAGGUGUAUAUUAUUUCUUUAUGUUAACAAAUGUGCAUUUUCUGCCAUACAUGGGCACGUGUAACCCUUGAGUCUUGCUUUGCAGCUCCUUUACCAAAAGGGGUACCUCUUAAUCACAGCGGUGUGCGUAGCUGUGCACACAAACAUCUGUGUGAGCCCCAGACUUGGCUGCGUUCUUCUCACCCUGAUUUCUGCACUGCUCUACACCCCUCGACUGUGCUUGCAGUGCAGAUUUUUAAAUGGCUUGAAGUGUUAUUAAAACGGGGCUUGUAAGGAUAGAAACAGCUUCCACAGACUGAGGAACACGGCGUCAGCAAAGGAAAACUAUGUCUAUCGGCAGCAUUAACUGUAUGUGUGACAUGAUUUCUUAUAAGUAUGUCUGUGCCACAAGACAAAGCAUUUCCAUGUACAUUUGAUACAUUUCAACUAUUUUAGAGCUUCUGGGUUCUAGUCAAGUUUUUCCAUUAGUUGGCUGAAAAAGAGUAACAUACACAUUUAAAGAUAAAAAUAUGCCAU